UGCCUUGUGUUCCUGCGCUGGAGCUACU
rnacentral:sRNA from 1 species